UCUGGCGGCAGUAGCGCGGUGGUCCCACCUGACCCCAUGCCGAACUCAGAAGUGAAACGCCGUAGCGCCGAUGGUAGUGUGGGGUCUCCCCAUGCGAGAGUAGGGAACGGCCAGAC
rnacentral:rRNA from 1 species